GAUGAACGCUAGCGGCAGGCUUAACACAUGCAAGUCGAGGGGUAGAGGCUUUCGGGCCUUGAGACCGGCGCACGGGUGCGUAACGCGUAUGCAAUCUGCCUUGUACUGGGGGAUAGCCCAGAGAAAUUUGGAUUAAUACCCCAUAGUAUUUUCGGUUGGCAUCAACUGAUUAUUAAAGUUUUUCGGUACAAGAUGAGCAUGCGUCCCAUUAGCUAGUUGGUAUGGUAACGGCAUACCAAGGCUACGAUGGGUAGGGGUCCUGAGAGGGAGAUCCCCCACACUGGUACUGAGACACGGACCAGACUCCUACGGGAGGCAGCAGUGAGGAAUAUUGGUCAAUGGUCGCAAGACUGAACCAGCCAUGCCGCGUGCAGGAUGAAGCAUCUAUGGUGUGUAAACUGCUUUUGUACGGGAAGAAACACUCCUACGUGUAGGAGCUUGACGGUACCGUAAGAAUAAGGAUCGGCUAACUCCGUGCCAGCAGCCGCGGUAACAC
rnacentral:rRNA from 1 species